CCCACAUUUAGAGUACAUAGAAAUGAGGUUGUUGAUCAAGAAACGAUCUGAAGUUUGGCCAGAGGUUAUAAUACCUCCAUGAACGCACUUGCCGAGAGGCAAGUUGGAGGAGGAGACGGCGGUGCGGAGGAGAGAGAAGCAUUGAGAGGGAGAAGGAGAAGGUGAGCGAGAAAGAGAGAUAGGGUCUAAGAGAGAGGAAAAAUGGGAGAGAAAGGAAAGGAAAAGAGAGUAAGAGGUUAGGGAUUUGGCAGAGGUGGA
rnacentral:misc_RNA from 1 species